UGGGCUUAAUUCAGCAAUAUCGAGUCCGGUACUACCUAGUUAGAUUGCGACUCUGUGCGCUGACCUCCAAACACAGAAAGUUAUUACCAAGUGACACAGGGUUAAGAUAUGACCAUAUCUAUCCGCUUUAUUAUAUGUAGACUUGUGGCAGUACCCGUGUUGAUUAUUAGGAAUUUCGAGUUUGAGAAUAGGUAUUCUCGACAAAGUCGAUAUUAUUUUACCCAGAAUACCAGUACUUUUCCGGUAAUUCCUAAUAAUAAUAUUACCCAGAGGAUGCAUUUGUGUAAUAAUUUCAAUGCCUGAAUUUUGCCUGUGAGGUAGUGGGUAAUUUUUGAAUUUUAUUUCUUAAAGAAAGUGAACUAUAUUAUUAUCGAGCAUCUUUUUGUUAAAAGAAUUCCCAUACUGACUGGUAAUUUGCGGAUACCCCGUAAACUUUGACGAUAUUUUUUAGUCGGAAUUAUAGGAACAUUCAUAUUUUUAUGAUGAUGUUCAUGACAAAAUAAUUAUCUUUUCCUAUUUCCGUCAAGAUAUAUUGUCAAAAUGUAUGCAGUGUCCACAAAUUACCAGUCACUACGGAAAUUUUUUUUACAAGAAGUUUCUCCGUAUAGUAAUAAUGAUAUGACUUGCAACUCCGUCGUUCAGGACGAAAAUUGAAAGUUAACCGAGUGUUGUAGUACUGAGGAGGUGAAAUUUAUGAAUUAUUAUGAAUAAACGUCAACGAAAAUCAUUCAUCGACCAAUUCAGUGAAUAAUUAUACUACUUAAAUGUUGAAAGUCCGAGAGAUAGAAGUUACAGUAUCGAUCCGAUUGUUGGAACAUGCAAUCCAAAUAUACAUAGACAAAAAACGUUGUUGAUAAAUAUAGUAUUAUACCAAAAUAAGGUUUCACCGAUGUAAAGUAAAUUAACCACAAUUGACCGUAAUUCAAAGCACGUCGAUCUUUUGUUUGACUAAUAAAAAUGUUUUAAAAAGUGGUGUUAAUUAAUUACACUUUUAAAUUGGAUAUAAGAAACUAACGACUGACUUUUCGGAUUAUUUGUAACCAAAUCCUUGUCAAUUAUUUACGGAUGGUUUCAUGACGAACAGUUUAUCGCUCGAAUGAAUGCGUCAAAGGUCGAUGCAAGAACUUUGGACACGUGCAGGCUUUAAAGUACGAUAUCUCUGUCAAAAAAACAUAGAGGAAAGGUUGUAAAACCUUUCUGAAGCUUCAAGAGUGUUCUGCUUCCAACAACCAUUGCUCUUUUUUGAGACACGAUUCUGAAGUUAACAUUUGAUCAGCAAUAGGUUGAAAGUCGUAUUUUUUGAUUUUUUUUAAAUUUUACAGACCUUUGCCGUAAUUGAAGAGUUAAAUGGAAAACCGUUCAAAAUAAUCAGAGUCUUGCUUUAGAAACUACUUAUUGUUAAACUAAUGUGGUUCGAUAUUAUGAGGAACUUCGAAACUCGCUUCGACAAACCAAGUCCCCAGGAUCAAACUGAAAAUCGAAGGGUACGUAUCUUGGGAUCGAAUGAAGCUAUCAGACGAGGCUGAAUAUUCAAAAGUAUGAAAUAAAUAUUAAUACUAUUUAGUUUAUCGGGACUUGAAUACUUGUCUCCUUCGGAAUAUAUGGUCAUAUUGAAUAAAGGAAGACUAGCGCUCGAGUGCAAGAAUGGCAAAAAUCAAUCCAGGAAUAAGGUAUUUGGCCCGCGUACAAAAGCAAUCGGAACAGUUUGGUAAUAUGCAACAAAACUGAUCUAUGUGAAGUUGGUCUGCGACCUUCAAAUUUCUUAAAAAGUUGUAUGCCCCAAAAUUGCUCCCGAAUAUGCAUUUUCAUUUUUUUCGAUUUUCUCGAAAACGCGUGGGAGUGAAUAAUAGAAAAUACAGAGCAAUUGCAAUUUUUUGGCACAAAAAUUUUCAAGAAAUUUGUAGGUCGCAGGCCAACUUUAUAUCAGUCCAGAACCGGCAAACUGUUGCGAAAAAUAACCCAAGGCAUCCUCAGCCAACGUAAUGAGUAUGAAUUAUAUGUAAGCAUGCAUGUCUUAAGUACGUUCUUGAUACAUUGGUUAAGUUACAUUCCCGCACGCGUAUUCCGUUCGUCAGAGAUUGUCGUCUAAUGACAAAAUUUUAAAUUAAGAUGAGGUAUCUAUAAAAUAUCUGUAUAUUCUCGUGUGUUUCAACCUAGUAAGUACCUUUGUUUAAAUAUACAUUUUUGUACGGACAGAAUAUAUAUUUUUACAAUUUGCUUACAAAAAUUACACAUUGCAGAUUAUAAAAACAGUAGCAUAUUUUUAAUGAGCUGCGUGAAUAUGGUGACUGAAUUUGUGUAGUCCACUAGUUUACAAAUUUUUUAUGUGACGUAAAUUCCCAUACAUAUAUGUGUAUGGAAAUGAUGUAAAACUUUAAAAAAUAAUUAAGAACCUAUAAUAAAUAUUAAUAACCAAUAGUCGGACGUUCCUAUCUAUGCAAGUUUUUUUCUAUUUUCACUGUAUCUCAGAAAAUAUAUUACAUCCUGAUUUCCACGAUACUUUGUAAGAAAUAAUUGUACAAAUUCUUUAGGCCCUUCGAUUUUGUUACUAGUACGAAAGUGGACAAGUCUUCAUCCUUGCAUUGUGUAAGGAACUGGACUGGAUGAUUCAGGAUUAACAUCUCGUGGAUGGCCUACAUACUUGAUGAUAAACUGCAUAAAUAAUAAAAUUGUUAUCAUAUUAAGCAUACAUGAAGUCAAUGUUUUUCACUCAUGAGAAGUUCGAAAUAAUGCUUCGAAUAGUGAAUGGUCACUUGUCUAGUUAUACAUACCGCGUUUUCGGUCAAUCGAGUUGCACCCAUUUGGAUAGCUGUAUGUACAAUGAGGUACAUACAAAACAGUACAUAGAAAAUGGCAUAGAUUGCAAUUAAAAGUAAUAUUGCCCAAUGCUUUGUCACUCGUUCUUCUACUGUAUCGAUGACAAAGUAAAUAUUCACAGCAAAGACUACGACACCUAAAGCGCAAGAGAUGACUUUGUUUGUGCUGUUGAAAAGGAAAAAAAAUUAUGUAGAAAUUUGAGGAAAAAAAAGCAAGAUAUACCAGUGCAAAA